AGCACGAUGAUGAAGGCCUCGAUGACGCCGCCGAUGCCCACCAUCCAGGUCAUCCUGACAAACAGAGUCACACC